rnacentral:snRNA from 1 species
AUACCUUUCUUGGCCUUUUGGCUAAGAUCAAGUGUAGUAUCUGUUCUUAUCAGUUUAAUAUUUGAUAUGUGGACCAUUGGUUCACACGAUAUUAAAUUAAUUUUUUGAGGGGGAGGGUCCAUUAUAGUAGCUUGCUACUGGGGCUCUCACGUGUUGCCCUUGCAUUGCACUACUGCACGGGCCUGGCACACCCCAC